AUGGUAUCCAGACAUGUGCUGCUUAGAAAGCACAACUUGGAAAGAUAGCCAGCAUUCUGAGUUUUUAUGUCCAAUUUAAAUAAUGUUGGAGAAAAAUAGUCCUGUGUGGUCUUGAGCAAUUUCCUCAACCUCUGAGACUUGUUUUCUCAACUAUAAAACAUGAAUUAAAAUACCUACCUGAUUGGGUAGUUGUUUAAAAUAAAUGAAAUAAUGAUUAUGAAGCAUUUAACAAAGGGCCUAGUAAUAGAAAUGAUUUCAGUGAGUGGCAACAAAAGUAUGUGAAUAAUCGGAUCUAACUUACCCCUGCCUCAUGGAGACUGUUCCUAUUCCCUGAGAAUAGCUUUUGGGCAGAAGCCUGCUCUACAUCAGGGAGAGAAUCCUGGAGAGCAGAGCUGGGGUGUUGCUGUGACCAUGAAAGAUCUGUCUAGAGUAGCAUAGUAGAAGCAGCAGUACUUAUGCAGGAGCAAGAAAAAUAUGGAAAGGAAAAAUCGUAAUGAAUAUUUUCAGAGUUCAUAACUCUGUAUUUUUACUAAAGAUUUCAGGCAAUUUUUAAAGCUGGAAGGAAGCUGAAAGAGAUAAUUUAUGUAAUCUCAUUUCACACAUGAAGAAACUGAGGGCUGAUGAAAAACUUCUAAAAACUAUGUGAUUAGUGACUAUUGUGGGACUCAACUGCUGACUUCUACUCCAGUGCUUUUUUAUUUCCAUGACUUGACACCCUGUGUAACCUAGACGUACACAAGUCUUCGUGAGAGGCUUAGAAAUGUCCAUUGGAAUUUUUGCUAUAAGAAAGUGUUAGGAUAGCCUUAGGCCUGAGCCUAAGCAACUCCAUUUUAAAAACUCCAGUUUGAAACUUGCAGUCUCACUAGGCACACCCACAGAGCCCUCCAGUAUGGCCUCAAACAAGUUAUUUCCCCGCACCCUGAUAAAGAGAGUGAAGCCCCUGUCAGGCUGUCCUCACCUGAUAAGAGGGAAAGGCAUGAUGAUCAGGGUGGAAACCACCAGACCAGAUGUUUCUGACCCCAGGGUAAAUGAUGUCACUGAGAAAUCUGGUGGUAGCUGAUAAGGAUUGAAAAGGGGGGUCAACCCCCCCCAAAAAAAAUUUAGUAUAAAUAAUACAGCAAAUGAAUAGGGAUUCAGCCAGCUGAAGCAAGGAUGCACUCGAGCUGGAGAGCCUGAUGAGGACCUGACAUCGCAUCACUUGUCAUUGUUUCCCCAGCCUCUGCGUGAUCCUCAUCACUCUCAAACUCAUCUGGAUCUUGGUGAGAGCCGCAACUUCUCCCUAGGACCCUCUCCUCAAUGGGUCAUCCAUUCCACACCAGGAAAAUCCUGCCUUGGUUCUGGACCUGAUCACCGCCGGUCUGAGUGAGAGUGCAUCUGCUGGACAUAAAGCCUAAGGCUUAAGACUUUUGAACUUAGCAUGCAGAGGGAAUGUCUGUCACUGGCCUAUGAUUAAGUGUGUUUUGCAGUGCUUAGAAUUAACCUAGAAUUGUUUGCUAUAAAUUAAUUAAUCUAGAAUAGUUUGCUGUGAAUUGAUUAUGUCUCUUGCAGUGCUGAGCAUUAAGGUUUGUCGUUUUCUUGAUUAAGAACCUAUAGAGUGAAAUUGUAUUGAGUAAUUUGAGUGAAUAAAGCAUUGAAAGGGGCAGAAGCGCGUUGACAUUCUUUAUUUCUCCCCUCGACUGCAUAAGUGGCAAUUUUGCCCCCUCGAGACAGCAAGGCACAAGAAAG
rnacentral:lncRNA from 1 species